rnacentral:rRNA from 1 species
GAUGAACGCUGGCGGCGUGCCUAAUACAUGCAAGUCGAGCGAACAGACGAGGAGCUUGCUCCUCUGACGUUAGCGGCGGACGGGUGAGUAACACGUGGAUAACCUACCUAUAAGACUGGGAUAACUUCGGGAAACCGGAGCUAAUACCGGAUAAUAUAUUGAACCGCAUGGUUCAAUAGUGAAAGACGGUUUUGCUGUCACUUAUAGAUGGAUCCGCGCCGCAUUAGCUAGUUGGUAAGGUAACGGCUUACCAAGGCAACGAUGCGUAGCCGACCUGAGAGGUGAUCGGCCACACUGGAACUGAGACACGGUCCAGACUCCUACGGGAGGCAGCAGUAGGGAAUCUUCCGCAAUGGGCGAAAGCUUGACGGAGCAACGCCGCGUGAGUGAUGAAGGUCUUCGGAUCGUAAAACUCUGUUAUUAGGGAAGAACAAAUGUGUAAGUAACUAUGCACGUCUUGACGGUACCUAAUCAGAAAGCCACGGCUAACUACGUG